rnacentral:lncRNA from 1 species
GUAACAACCCCCACAUUUCAAUGACUUGACAUCAUAAAGGAGAAUUCCAUGCACAAUGUGAGUUGGAGGUUGACUCUCUCUCCUCUCGGCCAUCAGAGUCCUCUCUGUUCAGCCAGCAGCAUGUGUGGGAAGAGGGUCACAGUGGGCUGGGGAGGUUCUUAUGGGCCAGGUCUGGAAGGACACACAUCAGUUCCACUCACAUCGUUGGCCGAAACUCAAUCAUAUGACCACAUCUAACUGCCAGGGAAGGUGGUCUAACCGUGUCCUCAGAAAGAAGAGACGAACAUGGAUACCGAUGAGCAUUGCAAUCUCUGACAACGCUGAGUCUACACUGUGAAAACAAGAAACAGCAAUGGCGACCAGACCACCAACAGUGAUGAAAAGGUCUCACCUGUCAUAUCCGGACCUGAGCAAUAAUCUCUAGAGUAAGAAGAUGUGGACAGUCCUGUUUGAAGCAUCCAGUUUGCAGAGAACAGCUGGGACAAGCCUGGAACGUAUUUCUCUAUUGACUGCACUCUGCUGCUCCAGGAAAACACCCGUAUUUGCAUGAGGCUGAGCCCAGGAGUUCUAUAGCGCAGAGAGAUGGAAGGGAAGACGUCUAAGCAGUGGAGACUCUGCCUUCUAGGCCUGUUGUGUCUGGGGCAGACUGAGAGCCAUCUUGCUGCUCCACGAAGCACACUCUGUUUCACAAGCAUGGCGAAGGCAGCGAGCAGAUGAACCAAGCAGGUGGUCUCCGAUGCACUCACCUCCUCUGCUCACCAAGGGCUCUCUGAGUCUCCACUCCCGCAUUAAGGAGAAACUGUCCUUGCCUUGUAUGUACUGUGUGUUCCCAGACAGGCACGUGCAUUCAUUUAUUCAUGAAUCAUUUGUGAUGUGUCAAGCUCACGCCAUAUGCCAGGCACAUGCUAGACCCUUCAGAGACAACAAGAGCAGCAAAGCACAGGGUCGACUGCUGUAGGUGACACCCUAAAGGUACAUCCGCAGAGCUAAAAUUAGGUUAUGUAUGUUUAUUGCAUCCACGUAUAUAGGUCUUGAAGAUAGAUUUAAAGACUUAGAUUCACACAAAAAUUAUUGCCAGCCAAAUAAAUUUUUACAGCUCAUCCCAUGUUUUCUACUCACAAAGAUAUCACUGUAAGCAACUUGGAAGGAUUUAGAAACCCAGCUUGGUGCCCCAGUUUUACUAUUUAUCAUUUACCAAGUGACCUUGAGCAAAUUCUCCAGUCUCCCUAUCAUCAAUUGCUCUUCCCUUAGGCAAGCAUGACAGUACCUGUCUCAUAGCUUGUCAGAAGGACUAGGAUGAGGCAUGAGUGUGGAGUGGCUAAAAAGCAAGUUAUUUCAGCUUUCUGUGCCUCACUGUCUUUGCUUGUAAAAGUAGGAUAAUAGAACCCAUGUCAUGCAAUUUCUGUGAAAAUUAAAUGAGAUAAUGACACAUUCAAUACUCAACACAUUUUAGUUAUUUUAUGAAAGUGUCAUAUCAACUACAACAUGCUAGAUAAAAGUUAAAAAGCAUUAACUGUUAAAGUUAAGCUCGGUCAGAAGAAGAGUAUUGGGACUAGAAUCAUUCCAACAUGCUACGUAUCCAGGGGAUUGGUACCUUUCAAUCAAACUCUUGGGCUCAGCGCUGUUUUGGACGUUGAAAUAGACGGCUCUGCUUUGGCCGUAAUGUCAUCUACCUCUCCAGCUAAAUGUACAUCCUUUUUCCGGGCCCUCUCCUCUGGUCUUCUCUUUCUUUUUAGAUCAGUUCUCAAAACGUAAUUCCUUUAAGGACCAGUUCUGAGUGUUUAUGCUGGUCCUGUGUGUAUACAGAAAAGGAAGACGAAAUGACGCCACUCUUUUCCAUCGUAGUCUGUGUUUAUUCUUCCUCUUCUUUAAAGCAAUAAGGAUGAUUUUUUCCCAUCUUUGAAAUGUCACGUCCUCAAAGUAAGUUUGGGCAGCAUCAAAACAAUUUAUAAAUUAAAGGAUUAUCAGAGUAGAGGGGACAUAAUUACCUACCGGAAUUUGACAUCACAAAAAGAAGACUCCAGAUAGUUUUCUUUGGGGUUGAAUCAUCACUAUUUAUGGGCUGAAGAAUUCCUGCUUCAAAGAUCAUUGGAAACUGAGUGUUAGGCUGUCUCUAGACCUGUUUGUUUUUUUAUUUCAGUUCAUGUAAAAAAUUCAUUGGCUACGUUAUUUUAUACUCUUCAUUCAAAUGACCCUUUUCAAAACAACCCAGUUUUUUAUUAGAAUUCAUUCAGUUUCUGUGUAUGUAACAGUUUAUAUGUGGAGACAAAACUCAACUUCUCAUUUGGUGGAAGAAAAUGAGCAUGACUAAAAUAUUAACAUUCCUCAAAUCCAGACUUGUUCAGGCAACAGUAAGCAAGUAUGCGAAGGAGCGUAGGCAUUUAGCUUAAAUCUGCACAAAGAGAAUGACUACCAUGCUUUUAAAUGAUUGGUCCUAUGAUUUUUGAGAUACAAAAAAAAAAAAGAGAGAAGAAGAAGAAUCUUGUUGCCAAGUAUGGAAAGAUGCAAAGGUGAGUCAGGUGAGAAUUCCAGCGGCGGUAAUCCUAACAUGCGCUUCUGUGCCUGUUGCAUAUUAGGAGACGAGUACCUCGGUUUUCACAUUUUUUAGUGAAAAGUGCUGUUCUGACUUAGCUGCCUUGGAAACACCCGCCUCUGCGGUGUAAUAUUGAUGAACGCGAGUCGGGAGCGGCUAGCACUGCGCCUCUCUCUGUGAAUAAUAGGGCACACAUGAAUGAUUAAAACAAGGCAACCAGAAACUCAUCUUGCCAGUGGUCCCUGGGAUCAAAUUCAUUUAUUAGCUCUCCAAGGUCACUGACCUCGAUUACCCGGAGCCCAGCUACUAAAUUGAUUAAUUGAUCCAUUCUCUCAUUUCACUCAUUUAAUUUGAAGGGAAAAUAAAAUGAAAAUAUUC